CUGGUGCCAGCAGCCGCGGUAAUUCCAGCUCCAAUAGCGUAUAUUAAAGUUGUUGCAGUUAAAAAGCUCGUAGUUGGAUUUCGGGGCGGCCCGGUCGGUCCGCCGCAAGGCGUGUCACUGACCGAGCUGUUCUUCUUCGCAGAGACUGCGUGUGCUCUUAACUGAGUGUGCGCAGGACUUGCGACGUUUACUUUGAAAAAAUUAGAGUGUUCAAAGCAGGCCAGCGCUUGAAUACAUAAGCAUGGAAUAAUGGAAUAGGACUUUGGUUCUAUUUUGUUGGUUUCUGGAACCGAAGUAAUGAUUAAAAGGGACAGUUGGGGGCAUUCGUAUUUCGUUGUCAGAGGUGAAAUUCUUGGAUUUACGAAAGACGAACUACUGCGAAAGCAUUUGCCAAGAAUGUUUUCUUUAAUCAAGAACGAAAGUUAGAGGAUCGAAGAC
rnacentral:rRNA from 1 species